AACGAACGCUGGCGGCAGGCUUAACACAUGCAAGUCGAACGCAUCCUUCGGGGUGAGUGGCAGACGGGUGAGUAACGCGUGGGAACGUGCCCUUCAGUUCGGGAUAACCCAGGGAAACUUGGGCUAAUACCGGAUACGUGCGAGCGCAGAAAGAUUUAUCGCUGAAGGAUCGGCCCGCGUCUGAUUAGCUAGUUGGUGGGGUAAUGGCCCACCAAGGCGACGAUCAGUAGCUGGUCUGAGAGGAUGAUCAGCCACAUUGGGACUGGGACCCGGCCCAAACUCCUACGGGAGGCAGCAGUGGGGAAUAUUGGACAAUGGGCGCAAGCCUGAUCCAGCCAUGCCGCGUGAGUGAUGAAGGCCUUAGGGUUGUAAAGCUCUUUCGUCCGGGACGAUAAUGACGGUACCGGAAGAAGAAGCCCCGGCUAACUUCGUGCCAGCCGCCGCGGUAAGAC
rnacentral:rRNA from 1 species